rnacentral:lncRNA from 1 species
CAUGAGUGCUCUGUCCUCAUGAAUGGAAUUAGUGCCCUUAUAAAAGAUGUUGGGCCAGGCACACUGGCUCACACCUGUAUUCCCAGCACUUUGGGAGGGUGAGGUGGGCAAAUCACUUGAGCUCAGAUGUUUGAGACCAGACUGGGCAACAUGGUGAAACCCUGCCUCUACAAAAAGUACAAAAUCAGCUGAGCAUGGUGACACCCACCUGUAAUCCCAGAUACUGGUGGGGGCUGAGGUGGGAGGAUUGCUUGAACCUGGAAGUUCAAGGCUACAAUGAGCUAUGAUAGUGCCAGUGUUCCAGCCUGGGCAAGAGAGCCAACCCUAUCUCAAAAAAAAAAAAAAAAAAAAAAAAGAGAGAGAGAGCAAGGGAAGGCAGCUUCCCUCCCCUUCCACCAUGUGAGGACAGAGAGAAGGUACUAGCUAUAGGAACAGGCACUGAAUCUGCUAGCACUUUGAUCUUGGACUUCCCAGGCUCUAAAAUUGUAAGAAAUAAAUUUCUGUUGUUUAUCAGUUACCCAGGCUAAGAUAUUCUGGUAUAGAACCCAAGUAG